AAGGAUGACAACUAAAAUCUAUAUACACUUAGACGAAAGAUUUGGUGCCCAAGAAGUCUUGUUUCUAAAGGGGAUAUCACAGGUUCGAAACCUAUGCGCGUAAUCCAUUGUCAUUGGGGUGAGGGUAGAUAUCCUAUCUGACGGGGGAAAGAAUCAAGAUCGUAAUCAUUUUGGGGAGAGGCGAUCCUUUUUUAUUAAUUGGACUAAGUGUGAGGCAGAUUCCCACCAAAUUGUGCCAAGAAACGCACCUUGCUGUCAAACCUUAGACACCCUUCAGUUUCAAAGCCGGUUUUCUCCUUGCUGCAGAUACUAACAAACUAGAAAAGCAGAAGGUUUUCGGCGCAUGGCAAUUUUAAAAUGCAAGGCACCCAUGGGAACCCCCGCAUCUUUGGCUCGUUUUCCAAAGGGGUGCGGGGCAGAAGAAGGAAGAAAUUAAGGGCAUCCCAUCUGAGCAAAAUCUUCGCUACUUUUCGCAGACGCAUCUCAGGAAGGCGUAUCUGCUGCAUAGUGAAAGAUCAAUUUUUUGCUGCCUGAAAGGCAUAUCAAGGAUACCAGUCUUUUUCCAGAGUUCCUCAUGG